ACCCAGAUUUACACGAGCAGUGCGCAUCAGUGACUUGGCCUUUGCCGACAACAAGGUUGACUAAAUACGGCUUUUCCCUCUUCUUUUGGGAGCGAAAUACGGAGGCUUUUACAACAAUUUCCCCGCCAUGUUCCAUGAGAUAGAUUAACACUAUGAAUAUAUGAUUCAUUUGCAUACCGCCUACCCUGAAUUCUCUUUCUUAAAGAAGGUUAAUAGCAAAGAAAAUCUUCGCUAACUCGGCUAUACAUCGACUGAGCCGGUAUUAUUUUCAGAAGCGGUAAAAUGCUACAUCAAUGAUGAGGAUGACAUUAAUGAUUCUACAGAGUGUCAAUAGUUAACGUCGUGUAUACUGGCUUAAGGGCUGUUUUCUUGGAUUGACUUGCGUAUUGAUCACUCGGCUGACGCAAACCAUUAACCUAGACUGACGCAAAUAGUAACGCUCGAACCCGGUGUGACUUUUCAACUCAGAGUUACGAUUGACAGAUACCACGUUGACGAGAGUGAACGAGUGCAUAUAUCCAAAUAAGGCAUAGCAACAUUUUAUAUUUAUAAAUAAAUUAAUUUCUAUGUGGAUUAUUUAAACACUAUUGUUGUUAUUUUGUUUGUUUUGAUUUUAUUUCAACAUUGAAAUGAGGAAAAGCUUACGAAAUAAAAAAAAAAAAUUAAAAAUCCUACACUACACAGGCCUACAAAUUUACAAAGGUGAAACAAAUUAAUAAAAACAUGAAGUUAAAAAAAACCGAAUAUUUAUUAUUGUCCAUUUUGUCAUUAUUUAAAAAAAAAACUAUUUUCUCAUGCUAC